GGACGAACGCUGGCGGCGUGCCUAACACAUGCAAGUCGAGCGGAGGUAUUCAAGGAGCAAUCUGCGGAUACUUUAGCGGCGGACGGGUGAGUAACGCGUGAGCAACCUGCCUUUCACAGGGGGAUAAGGCGGCGAAAGCCGCUCUAAUACCGCAUGAGACCCCGGUGGUGAUACCACAGCGGUCAAAGGAGCAAUCCGGUGAGAGAUGGGCUCGCGUCCGAUUAGGUAGUUGGUGGGGUAAAGGCUCACCAAGCCAAUGAUCGGUAGCCGGCCUGAGGGGGUGAACGGCCACACUGGGACUGAGAUACGGCCCAGACUCCUACGGGAGGCAGCAGUGAGGAAUAUUGCGCAAUGGUCGCAAGACUGACGCAGCAACGCCGCGUGAGGGAUGAAGUACUUCGGUAUGUAAACCUCUGUUAGAAGGGAAGAACGGGUGGAUGUCGAACAGGCAUUCAUCGUGACGGUACCUUCAGAGAAAGCCCCGGCUAACUCCGUGCCAGCAGCCGCGGUAAUACGGGGGGGGCAAGCGUUGUCCGGAAUUAUUGGGCGUAAAGGGCGCGUAGGUGGGACAGCAAGUCUGGGGUGCAAUCUUACGGCUUAACUGUAAGCUUGCCCUGGAUACUACUGUUCUUGAGUUCGGAAGAGGGUAGUGGAAUUCCUGGUGUAGCGGUGAAAUGCGUAGAUAUCAGGAAGAACACCGGUGGCGAAGGCGGCUACCUGGUCCGAUACUGACACUGAGGCGCGAAAGUGCGGGGAGCAAACAGGAUUAGAUACCCUGGUAGUCCGCACAGUAAACGUUGGACACUAGGUGUUGGUCUUUAUGAGAUCAGCGCCGCAGCUAACGCAUUAAGUGUCCCGCCUGGGGAGUACGACCGCAAGGUUGAAACUCAAAGGAAUUGACGGGGGCCCGCACAAGCGGUGGAGCAUGUGGUUUAAUUCGAUGCAACGCGAAAAACCUUACCUGGGCUUGAACUGUGGUCGCAAACUCAUGAAAGUGAGUCCUCCUUCGGGACGGCCAUAGAGGUGCUGCAUGGCUGUCGUCAGCUCGUGCCGUGAGGUGUUGGGUUAAGUCCCGCAACGAGCGCAACCCUUGCCCUUAGUUGCCAACAGGUUAUGCUGGGAACUCUAAGGGGACUGCCCCAGACAAUGGGGAGGAAGGUGGGGACGACGUCAAGUCAUCAUGGCCCUUACGUCCAGGGCUACACACGUGCUACAAUGGCCGGUACAAUGGGAAGCAAUACCGCGAGGUGGAGCAAAUCCUAAAAACCGGUCUCAGUUCAGAUUGCAGUCUGCAACUCGACUGCAUGAAGUCGGAAUCGCUAGUAAUCGUGGAUCAGCAUGCCACGGUGAAUACGUUCCCGGGCCU
rnacentral:rRNA from 1 species